CAGUCGCCGCGGUAAUACGAAGGGUGCAAGCGUUAAUCGGAAUUACUGGGCGUAAAGCGUGCGCAGGCGGUUGUGUAAGACAGGUGUGAAAUCCCCGGGCUUAACCUGGGAACUGCGCUUGUGACUGCACAGCUAGAGUAUGGCAGAGGGGGGUGAAAUUCCACGUGUAGCAGUGAAAUGCGUAGAGAUGUGGAGGAAUACCGAUGACGAAGGCAGCCCCCUGGGCCAAUACUGACGCUCAUGCACGAAAGCGUGGGGAGCAAACAGGAUUAGAUACCCGGGUAGUCCCUGUCUCUUAUAC
rnacentral:rRNA from 1 species